UCCAGUCAUCAACAGAUGGGUUUGUAGAACUAUACUCUACUGUCACCCCCUCUGAGUUCUGCCCUUGAAAGAAUGAAAAUUUUCAGUAAAUGCAAAAUAAAUUUGGAUUUAUCAUUAAGAUUUUCGUUGGUUGUUAUUGAAAGAAGCUUUGACCCAACAGAAAGUUCUAACAAAUGCUAUAUUCAACUUCAUGACCAUCAAGGGGUAAUCAAAUUAAAUUUUCUUUUAAUAUAUGUUGCAAAAAAUAAUAGGAAACAGAAACCAAUUUAAAGAAAUGUGGUGUCCCUCAAGCUGAGCUUGCCAAGUAUAGCAGGAGAGGCUCUGACAUAGGCAUUGUCAUUAAGAGCAACUAUAAUAUGAUCUUAUGAAUGUACCGAUUAUUGAGACUGCGGAUUCUAGCUAGCUCUCCAUGCGAACAUGCCACUUCAAAGGUUCCGAGGGCUAGCUCAAAAGUCAAGUCUAGUGUAACCCAAUGAGCCAUAUUAGAAGUUAAAAUUAAGUAUUCAUAAAAGUAAAGUUUUGAUCACAUGUAAACAUGAAACCGACGAAAAAUAAUAAAUAAAUAAAUAAUUGGCAUCAGAACACUUGAUGACACAAUAUGAAGAAAUUUCUAGAUGAAUGUUUACUGUGAAUGUCUCUAAUUCCCAUGAAAAUAGCAACAAACAGUUUUGAAUGAUAUAAUAUGAAAGUAUCAUAUUAUUACAACUAUAAGGAUAAUUACAACUAUAAGGUUAACUAUAAUGAUAAUAAUACGAAAGUAUCAUAUCAAGACAUGUUUCAUGAGAACGGCAUAAUUCCUGACCUCAUCUUGUUGUCGCUUGUUUUAGAAUUGCAGUGAGUAUUACUAAGCCUUUAAAGAAGAUCAUCUUUCUUGAACCAGAAGGGGAGGAGAAGAUACCAAGAGGGGUGAGGUUAUGAAAAACUACCGACGUUUGCUGUUGUUGUAGCUGCCAGCCAGGGGCCAUUCAUUUAGAAAGUGCUUUAAGUACGAAGGUUAGAAACGAGAAGAUCUUGCCUUUGGUUAAUGGGUGAAAGCUAUCGCUUUCGUAGAUCGUUUUAGACAGAAUAGAGGUGAUGAAAAGUGGAAUCGAAGUAAUAGUAAAAGGGAUGAAGAGCCUGUGAAUCAAGAACACCAUAAAAUCUAGCAACAAGACCAGAGACAAGCCAACUCAGAUGUAGAAAGUUUUGGGGGAGCCGGAAGGAAAACGGCGGUAUAAAAAAG
rnacentral:lncRNA from 1 species